UACGUAGGGUGCGAGCGUUGUCCGGAAUUAUUGGGCGUAAAGAGCUCGUAGGCGGUUUGUCGCGUCGAAUGUGAAAACCCGGGGCUCAACCCCGGGCCUGCAUUCGAUACGGGCAGACUAGAGUUCGGUAGGGGAGUCUGGAAUUCCUGGUGUAGCGGUGAAAUGCGUAGAUAUUGCUCGGAAGGCCGGAGCCGAAGGGGCCCCACUGGUACGUAACUGACGCUGAGGCACGAAAGCGUGGGGAGCAAACAGG
rnacentral:rRNA from 1 species